AACCCUAACACCCAGCAUCAAUUGACUUUUGGUGAUGGUGGUGUCAAACGGAUCAGAGGUGACCAAGCUUCCUUCUUCUGAGGGCAGACUGCCAGUACCAAAGUGGUGUUGCUAUGGAGAAUUCCAAGUACAGUGUUGGACAAUCACGGCCUUUUAACCUCUGCCAUGGACAGUAACUACAGCCAGCAUGUCGUCCAUGCUUUAACCAAGAAACGGGCAUAGCAUGGAAAGCAGUGCUCCAUUGGAAGGUGAAAAGCCAUCACCUUCAAGAGGAGGAAGGCAACGACAAGAUCAACCACAGUCCAGGAUGGUUGUGUUAAAGCCAUGUUGUCCCUGCUCCAAUGUCCUGGAGUCUAUGGGCUGGAGGCAACGCUUUAAGAGUUUUAACAAAUGUGGAAUUGCAAUGUUUGGACGUCUGGAGGUCUAUAUCCUAUGUACCACAUGGUACAAAAUGUGCUGGAAUUAAAAAAAAAAAAAAAAAGAAAAGGAGUAAUAAUACUUUAACUGACUGGUCUUAGGGAGAAAUCACACAGUUUCAGGCUGUUAGACACUAAUAAGUUACUAAAAAAUCUUACACUUAUUCUUACAUUUCAUAUUAUGGUUGAAAGCUUCUGCUUGUUAACAUGAAUCUCUCCAUUGCAAAGUAUUCAGAUGUUAAAUACCAAGAAAAUAUGACUACGUUUUAGAACUAAAUGUUAGCCUGAAAUGCACAGGGCACACUUUGGCCUUACUGCCUACAUCUUUCUGUGCACUGCAGUAGAUAUUAUUUCACUUUUUAUAUAAGCUACAAUUCAAGUUCCCCCCCUCAAAGAUAUUUCAGCCUUUACUUAGUACCUCAUUAUUUUAAUAUAUUCAACUGAAAGCAGCAAAUAUGAGCACAGGAGCAGCAGCAAAGAAAUGCCAAGCUGCUUCCUGCACGCUCCACACCAUCACUCAGCUUGUCUGUGUCCUUCUUCCUGUGUUAAAGGGAGGUGUGGCAAGGCUUCUCCAUGAGCAAGGCUUUCCCCAUGCUUUGAAGAGCUCAAAGAGAACUGGGAUUUGGCUUGGAGAGACGAUGUGCUCCCACAGCUCUGUUUUGGUCAUUUUUUCUCUUUUAGGCUAAGAGACAAACUAACUCACCCAUUGUGUAGCUGCUGAGGUCUCCAGAUAAAGUGCUAUAAGAGUGCCACACACUAUUAUUCUUUUAUUAUGGAGCAGCCAUAGCUUUUCAAGAGUUAUUGUGGAUUUUUAUAUGUUUUCCUAUUGCCUUUUGUCUUCUAGUAGCAGUCCUGUGGUUUUGAGAGCUUC
rnacentral:lncRNA from 1 species